UCCGGGUUUCGCCCGGCAGUCUCCCUAGAACAUUCACCUUUCGGAUCCGUACCACCAGCAUGUCAAGCCCUGGUAAGGUUCUUCGCGUUGCAUCGAAUUAAACCACACGCUCCGCCGCUUGUGCGGGCCCCCGUCAAUUCCUUUGAGUUUUAGCCUUGCGGCCGUACUCCCCAGGCGGGAUGCUUAAAGCGUUAGCUACGGCACAGAGGGGGUCGACACCCCCCACACCUAGCAUCCACCGUUUAGGGCGUGGACUAC
rnacentral:misc_RNA from 1 species